rnacentral:tRNA from 1 species
UUGGGCGUGGUGGAACGGUAGACACGUCGGUUUGUGGAACCGAUGCCGCGAGGUUUAUGGGUUCGACUCCCAUCGCUCAACCCA